rnacentral:lncRNA from 1 species
CCCAGCUCACCCGCUGUCAGCUGGGGUCCUGCUCUGGUGGGAGGAAGAGGCUCAGACGCUUCCCUGCCCUCUCGCCUCAACCACCUCGAGGCAGCGGCUCCCAGGAUGUGCACUUUGACGACUAAAGCUGAGCCGGCGCCGCCACGACCUUGGGCGGGUGGUCGGCCUCUGCCCUGAGCAGGAAGUAGAAAGUCUCAGCAGACCCUUCCUGAGGGCCGAGCAACAGUGUAGUGGCGUAUUCCACAUAGCAAACAGUUUUCUGAAGCUCAGAGGGACACCUUGUAUUGCUGGAUGAUAAAAACAGGAGCAAAGUGAUGAAGUGCUGACAAGGCAACAAUAGAACAUGAGAGAUUCACUGCUGUGUAGGAAGAGAUCUUCGGUGACCAUGUAGCCUGAAGCUCUCAUUUUGUCAUCGAGGGACACCAAAACUCAGAACAG